GGAGCUGGUGGUGGUCGCAGAGACCAGAGAGAAGCGACUGUUUACUAAAAACACAGGUCCGUGCGAAGUCGUAAGACGAUGUAUACGGACUGACGCCUGCCCGGUGCUGGAAGGUUAAGAGGACCGGUUAAUCAACUUUGUUGGUGAAGCUGAGAAUUUAAGCCCCAGUAAACGGCGGUGGUAACUAUAACCAUCCUAAGGUAGCGAAAUUCCUUGUCGGGUAAGUUCCGACCUGCACGAAUGGCGUAACGACUUCUCUGCUGUCUCAACCACAGGCUCGGCGAAAUUGCAGUACGAGUAAAGAUGCUCGUUACGCGCGGCAGGACGAAAAGACCCCGGGACCUUCACUAUAGCUUGGUAUUGGUGUUCGGUGCGGUUUGUGUAGGAUAGGUGGGAGACUGUGAGGCUGGCACGCUAGUGUUGGUGGAGUCGUUGUUGAAAUACCACUCUGAUCGUAUUGGGCUUCUAACCUCGGACCCUGAUCGGGUUCAGGGACAGUGCCUGGUGGGUAGUUUAACUGGGGCGGUUGCCUCCUAAAGUGUAACGGAGGCGCCCAAAGGUUCCCUCAGCCUGGAUGGCAAUCAGGUGUUGAGUGUAAGUGCACAAGGGAGCUUGACUGUGAGACGUACAGGUCGAGCAGGGACGAAAGUCGGGACUAGUGAUCCGGCACCGGCAUGUGGAAGCGGUGUCGCUCAACGGAUAAAAGGUACCCCGGGGAUAACAGGCUGAUCUUCCCCAAGAGUCCAUAUCGACGGGAUGGUUUGGCACCUCGAUGUCGGCUCGUCGCAUCCUGGGGCUGGAGUAGGUCCCAAGGGUUGGGCUGUUCGCCCAUUAAAGCGGCACGCGAGCUGGGUUUAGAACGUCGUGAGACAGUUCGGUCUCUAUCCGCCGCGCGCGUCUAGAAACUUGAGGAAUCCUGUCCCUAGUACGAGAGGACCGGGACGGACGAACCUCUGGUGUGCCAGUUGUUCCGCCAGGAGCAUUGCUGGUUGGCUACGUUCGGAAGGGAUAACCGCUGAAAGCAUCUAAGCGGGAAGCCUGUUCCAAGAUGAGGUUUCUCACCCAC
rnacentral:rRNA from 1 species